AGUGAACGCUGGCGCCGUGCUUAACACAUGCAAGUCGAACGAGAACGGAAUAUAGCUUGCUAUAUUUGUCAGCUAAGUGGCGCACGGGUGAGUAAUGUAUAGAUAACCUGCCCUUAAGAAAGGAAUAACAGUUGGAAACGACUGCUAAUGCCCUAUAUGCCUUUAAUACAUAAGUAUGCAAGGGAAACGCUUUAGUGCUUAAGGAUGGGGCUGUAUGGUAUCAGCUUGUUGGUGAGGUAAUGGCUCACCAAGGCUAUGACGCCUAACUGGUUUGGGAGGAUGAUCAGUCACACUGGAACUGGGACACGGAGCAGACUCCUACGGGAGGCAGCAGUGGUGAAUAGUGCACAAUGGACGAAAGUCUGAUGCAGCAACACCGCGUGGAGGAUGACACAUUUCGGUGCGUAAACUCCUUUUAUAUAGGAAGAUAAUGACGGUACUAUAUGAGUAAGCACCGGCUAACUCCGUGCCAGCCGCCGCCGUAACAC
rnacentral:rRNA from 1 species